rnacentral:rRNA from 1 species
GGAUCAGAUUGUCGGUCGUGCCUCGGUACGCACUGGCAUUAUUGGUUUCUCCCUUCUGACGAACCAUGAUGUCAUUAAUUUGGUGUCGUGGAGAAUCAGGACUGUUACUUUGAAAAAAUUAGAGUGUUUAAAGCAAGCUAACGCUUGAAUACAUUAGCAUGGAAUAAUGAAAUAGGACGUUUGACCCUAUUUUGUUGGUUUCUAGGAUCGACGUA